GGUUUGUCCGGUACGGCUGUGCCGCUCGGUGUGCACCGCUCCUCGGGACAGCGUGUGCCGGGGCCCUCCUCGGGAAAUAUUUCUUCCUUCUAUGGAAACCAACGAGCACCCGGGCCUGCACUCUUGAUAUAAAUACCCGGUGAUGACCGACUUAUUGCGGGCGACCGGGCGACGAAUCCACCGUUGGGACAGCACUGCCGGUGUCAGGCCGAGUCGCUGUCCUUCUGUUUGUGAGCUCCCUCCAGGCACGUGAAGGCCGCAGUGAGGUCUCCCCAGAGCCUUCUCCAGGCCGCACGAGCCCAACUCCCUCAGCCCUUCCUGUCGGUGAGGCGCUCCGGCCCUCCCAGCACCUUUGCGGGAUUACGGCGGCCCGAGUGCAGCACCUCGC
ensembl:lncRNA